rnacentral:rRNA from 2 species
AACGUAGGGGGCCAGCGUUGCUCGGAAUUACUGGGCGUAAAGGGUCCGUAGGCGGUGUGGCAAGUCGGAAGUGAAAUCUCUGGGCUUAACCCAGAGGCUGCUCCCGAAACUGCUAUGCUAGAGUGCGAGAGAGGCGAGUGGAAUUGCGGGUGUAGCGGUGAAAUGCGUAGAUAUCCGCAGGAACAUCCGAGGCGAAAGCGGCUCGCUGGAUCGCAACUGACGCUGAGGGACGAAAGCUAGGGGAGCAAACAGG